GACGAACGCUGGCGGCGUGCUUUACACAUGCAAGUCGAACGGUAACAGGGAGCUUGCUCCGCUGACGAGUGGCGAACGGGUGAGUAAUGCAUCGGAACGUACCCAGUCGUGGGGGAUAACGUAGCGAAAGUUACGCUAAUACCGCAUACGUCCUGAGGGAGAAAGCGGGGGACCGUAAGGCCUCGCGCGAUUGGAGCGGCCGAUGUCGGAUUAGCUAGUUGGUGGGGUAAAGGCCUACCAAGGCGACGAUCCGUAGCGGGUCUGAGAGGAUGAUCCGCCACACUGGGACUGAGACACGGCCCAGACUCCUACGGGAGGCAGCAGUGGGGAAUUUUGGACAAUGGGGGCAACCCUGAUCCAGCCAUGCCGCGUGAGUGAAGAAGGCCUUCGGGUUGUAAAGCUCUUUCAGACGGAAAGAAAACGCAUCGGUGAAUACCCGGUGUGGAUGACGGUACCGUAAGAAGAAGCACCGGCUAACUACGUG
rnacentral:rRNA from 1 species